UACAACUUACUUUGCAAAUUGAGUUUUUCACACGUAGGGGUAGACAGAUCGACGGGACAUUUAUACACAUCUCCCAUUCGGUUCUCAGGAAAGCCACUCCAAGAUCCUUGAUGAAUGUCUACAAUACAGCUGUCUUGCCACAACACCCAGGGAAGCCUCUUUAAAGCAGUGCUGCCCAACAGAAAUAUAAUACAAGCCACAAAUGUGAGCCACAUGGAACCACGGAGACAAAGAGAGAUGAGCAACUUACUCGUGUCCACACCCUUAGUGAGAGCCAAAUAUAACUGAUUCUGAAGCCCAAGCUCUUCACCCUAAGUCAUUUGUCCUUUGUAGCUGCAAGAAGGCCUGGCACAGGGCCCAGACUGGGAAAACUAUCUGAAAAGAUGGCUUAGAUUCCAGAAUCAUCAAGGAGUAGAAAGUGGAAA